rnacentral:lncRNA from 10 species
CUGGCCUGGAAGCUGACUGCUGCCAACUUAUUUAGCAUGCGGGGCAGCUAGUCUAUUUUGUUCUCGGUUUUGAACCUUAAUAACAACUUUAGGAUAACAGGAGAAGCCCCACUCAAUAUCCUGACAUACAUUGAAUAUUGUAGAUGAUAACGUAGCCCCAACACAUGUUCUGUUUCUUAUAUACAUCUGGAACCACCUUAAAAACUUGGCAACCUGAGCUAUGGAAAGAUCCCUAUUUAAGAAAAACCCAAAGCUACUAAGACAAAUACAGGUCAGAAACUUAGAAGGGUGCAAGAAAAAGGCUGGACUGAAUGGUCCGAAUUCUGGGUAUAUAUGAAUAAACCCUCAAGUUCAUAUGUUAAAGCCCUAACCGGCAAUGUGACUGUAUUUAAAAAUAGGUGGUUUAGGAAGUAAUUAAGGUUAAAUGAGGUCAUAAGAGUAGGGCCCUGAUCCAAUCAGGCUGGUGGCUUUAUAAGAGGAGGAAGAUCUCUCUCUCUCUCUCUCUCUCUCUCUGUCUCUUUUUCCUCCAGUGAACUCAGAGGAAAGGCCAUGUGGACAUACAAGGAGAAGGCGGCUGUCUGCAAGCCAGGAAGAGAGCCCUACCAGACACCAAACAUGCUAGCACCUUGAUCUUGGACCUUUCAGCAUGCACAACUGUGGGAAAUAAAUUUCUAUUAUUUAAGCCCCCCAGGCCAUGGUACCUUGUGACAGCAGCCUGAGCUGACUAAGGCAAUCACCCUGAUGGUGAACCUGCCCUUGUGGAGCCUCCGCUCUUCUUUCUCACUGCUGCUGACCCAUCGGUAUUGUUUGCCUCUCAAGCUGAAGUUCCACGUGGAUCCUUUUGUGUCCCACUGAGUGCAAAAGCCACACAGCCCUCAAGUCCCCGGUGCAGCUGUUCGGCUUUGCCUGGAACUGAUCCCCAGGGCAGGUCCGGGGCUCCCCGGGGCAGCGCUCAGCGCAGGCGUCAGGAGAUGCUAAUGAGGCUUCCCAGGCCAGAGGACUGGACUGCAUCGCACCACCCAGGGGCCCUCUUCGCCAGUCUACUGCUCUGCCGUCGUCCAGUUCGUGCCUUCUUAGGGCCCUCAGGUACCUGCAGCUCCUCUUCAGCAUGAAGGUGAGGCCAGGGCUUCUGCCCUUUUCUCAGUCCACCUCUGCGUCAGCAUUCGCUCGGGAAAAGCCCUGCUGCUCCCAGAGACAAGAAGGGAGAAAACUUCGUACCCAGUCUUUUCUUC